GCAGCACUGGAGACUGUGACGAAUAUAGCCAUUUCUGCGAUUGUGUGUUGUGUGUGCAGAUGUAUAAUAAGGCAACAGAUUAGUGGGAGAUGAUAGAUCUGUCAUGCGAUGCAAAUAUCGUAGACCAGAGGAAGAGUGACUCAGUUUAAGAGUGGAAGCGAGGAGAAAGAAAAGAUUGCCAAAAGGCAAGACGGGGGACUAUAAAACAGGAGGUGAGAGGAAGGAAGAGAAGGGAAAAGAAGACUGACUUGGAGUCAUUUGAGAGACUUUUUUGUCUCUGCAAGAAAAUCUUUAAAGUUGGUGCUAAGAAUCUUUUGAACAGAAAUGGCAAAUAUAGGAGGAGUUUUCUUGACUUCACUCUUGUUCCUGAGAGCCAGUGUUCCGUGUUUUUCUUUGUAUAACAGCGGCGAAUGCUUCUUUAACACCAAAGGGAUCUGUGAACACAAGGGACAAGUGUAUGAGAUCGGAGAAAGAUGGAUCACCAGUGACUGCUACCAGUGUGUUUGCAUGGAACCCUUUGGAGUGGGAUGCUGUGACCAAGGAUCUACGCCCAUUGAUCAUCCAGAUUGGUGCGAGGUGAUUCGCAAACCUGACUCUUGCAUCAGCGUUGCCGUGAUGAGAAUCAACCAUAAACUGCCCUGCCUGUGGGGACGUGGACACUUCAGAACGGCUGGAGCACCAUGGAUGUCUGAAAAUGAUCCUUUGUUCUAAUUAAUACAAAAAUACAACCCUUAAAGAUAUUUAACAAUUAAAAGCCAUACUUAUCCUUUAUUUAUUUUUGUGAAAAGGUAAACUUUUUAACAAUUUAAGAAAAAAACUUGUGUCUGUUCUACUUUAUCUACUUGAACAAACAUUUGAGCUUUAGGAUGUUACUGUUCAUGUUAGUUAUCUGUUAAUAGUUUUAAUAAAAACAUCUGUUGCAACAUUUAUCAAUAGCAAGAAUUGCAUUCUUUUUGGGUAGAAAUCUUGUUGUAACAACUUGAGAGAUAAUUUGAGUUUUUCCAAAGAUCUUCAAUGAAAAAAAAAAGAAAUUUGUGGUGGCUAAUCAGUGUGGGAAAAUUGUCAUCUUAUGUCUUUAUCAAACACUUCUUAAGUCUCUGACCACAAGUUUAGUUAGCAUUUGUGAUGUAAAAAUACUCCGGUGUGUGUUCUUGAAAAUCUUCAAGAGUUCUGCUGUUGAUUGUUUUUAGUUAUCUAAUUAAUUUUCAUUAAACAACCUCUAAUCACAUC